rnacentral:rRNA from 1 species
AUGAGGCGGGCAGGCUUGCAACGUUUUGGUUUGCCCGAGGCCAACAACAGGUUGCGAAGUUGCGAUCCGAGCAGAGGCCACACCAGGGCAGCUGAAGAUUCGCGAGGUAGAGCCAAGACCUUGGGGCAGGGCUCUUGUAGAAGGCCCAAAGAUCUUCGGAGUACGCGUCACCUUCCACAAGCCGACAAAGACAACAUCUUGGCAGUCCUCAGGACGACUGAGCCCGCUGCCGACUACAAGGCCGAGCUCCUGAAGAUAAAACCACAAUGCCAGCAUGAAGAUAAAGAUCAUGUCCGGGACAUCGAAGACCAGCUACUUCAAUCUCAGACACGCUCGUGGGCUACUGAUGAUAGUACACCAAGGGUGGCUUCUGCCUAG